CCUUGGCAGCUGCAUCGGGCCUGGAGAUGGUCUGCUUCAGUGGAGAGGGCAGAUCCGUGUGGGUCACUGUGCAUGUGAAGUCGUCCCCUGACUCCCAGUCCUC